UAAAAUAGGGAACGAAGAGUGCCUUCAAGUCAGCCCUAUCUCCCAGGCAGAUAACAACUCAGCCACACCCUCCUCCUAGGCUAAACACACCUCCCCCAGCUGAUUGGUCAGUACACUCUAGCAUUACUUUCAAUGAAGCUGCCACAUAUGGAGUGUGUGAUGUCAUCUGCUCCUCCCUUUGGUGCUGUGCUGUGUGAUCUGCUCCUCCUGUAUCAUGGCUGCUGAAGUCUGGAGGGAAAGUGAUUUAAAAAGAGAGAAGAUUCCUGCUGAGAAGCAGAAUUUCACUGAGAAGUUUUAUGUAGGAGACUGCACAGAACAGGUGGUAAUGUGGGUGCACGGAUUUGUGAUUAUUGGUGAAGCAUGGCACCAGUGAAAAGAAAAUAUGCCACUAGGAAGGCU